rnacentral:sRNA from 1 species
GACCUAGUAGCCUUGGCCACGCGGGUCAUCAUGGGGGAAGAAGUGGAACCUGUGGGGCUAAUGACUGGUUCUGGAGUCGUGGGAGUAAAGGUGCCUCAGUUCUCCUUCUCCCGCUUGGCGGGUGCUGACGUGGUGUUGGGUGUGGAAAUGACCAGUACUGGGGAGGUGGCCGGCUUUGGGGAGAGCCGCUGUGAGGCAUACCUCAAGGCCAUGCUGAGCACUGGCUUUAAGAUCCCCAAGAAGAAUAUCCUGCUGACCAUUGGCAGCUAUAAGAACAAAAGUGAGCUGCUCCCAACUGUGCGGCUACUGGAGAGCCUGGGCUACAGCCUCUAUGCCAGUCUUGGCACAGCUGACUUCUACACUGAGCAUGGCGUCAAGGUGCAGGAACUCUAGCAAGCUACCCCACUGCUGCCCUUCCCCAAGGGGGUGAAAAUACUGCACCAAAGAAUUAUCUGGGCUGGGCACAGUGGCAUAUGCCUGUAGUCCCAGAUACUCAGGAGGCUAAGGCAGGAGAAUCUCUUGAGCCCAGGAGGUAGAGGCUGCGUGAGCUGCAAGUGUGCAGUGAGUGCAUCAUUGCACUCCAGCUUGGGAAACAGUGAGAUACUGUCUCAAA